rnacentral:misc_RNA from 1 species
AAGUCGUAACAAGGUCUCCGUAGGUGAACCUGCGGAGGGAUCAUUUGAGAGGUACGCGAUGAGCGUAUUGAAUGAGGAGAGAGGAGGGGGUGGUAUGCGGUCAUUUCUCUGAAAGGGGGAAUGGUUGUGUAUGUGUGGUUGUGUCGGAUCUUUGGGUAUCAGAGAUAGGGCAUAACCGUAUGUAAACUAGUGUAGCUGGAUGGUGUCAUGAUCAAGGUCAUGAUAUAUGGAAAAGGAGUACAAUUAAAGUACGAAAACUUUUAGCAAUGGAUCUCUUGGUUCUC